AGCAGCCGCGGUAAUUCCAGCUCCAAUAGCGUAUAUUAAAGUUGUUGCAGUUAAAAAGCUCGUAGUUGAAUUUCGGGACCAUCAUGUCGGUCGUGCCUCGGUACGUACUGGCAUUGUUGGUUUCUCCCUUCUGACGAACCAUGAUGUCAUUUAUUUGGUGUUGUGGGAAAUCAGGACUGUUACUUUGAAAAAAUUAGAGUGUUUAAAGCAGGCUCACGCUUGAAUACAUUAGCAUGGAAUAAUGAAAUAGGACGUUUGAUUCUAUUUUGUUGGUUUCUAGGAUCGACGUAAUGAUUAAUAGGGAUAGUUGGGGGCAUUAGUAUUCAAUUGUCAGAGGUGAAAUUCUUGGAUUUAUUGAAGACUAACUACUGCGAAAGCAUUUGCCAAGGAUGUUUUCAUUAAUCAAGGACGAAAGUUAGGGGAUCGAAGACGAUCAGAUACCGUCGUAGUCUUAACCAUAAACUAUGCCGACUAGGGAUCGGAUGAUGUUGAUUUUUUAAUGACUCA
rnacentral:rRNA from 1 species